rnacentral:rRNA from 1 species
AUUGAACGCUGGCGGCAUGCCUAACACAUGCAAGUCGAGCGGAUGAAGGGAGCUUGCUCCUGGAUUCAGCGGCGGACGGUUGAGUCAUGCCUAUGAAUCUGCCUUGUCUUGGCGGAUAACGUCCUGAUACGGGCUCUUAUCCCCCAUCCGUCCUGUUGUUGAAAUUGGGUGAUCUUCGGUCCUCACGCUUUCUGCUUAGCCUAGGUCGGAUUCGCUAGUUGGUGGGGUAAAGGCAUACCAAGGCUACUAUCCGUAACUGGUCUGAGAGGAUGAUCAGUCACACUGGAACUGAGACACGGUCCAGACUCCUACGGGAGGAAGCAGUGGGGAAUAUUGGACAAUGGGCGAAAGGGUGAUACAGCAAUGCCGCGUGUGUGAAGAAGGUCUUAGGAUUGUAGAGCAAUGUAAGUUGGGAGGAAGGAAAGUAAGUUAAUACGUGGCUGUAUUGACGUUACCAACAGAAUAAGCACCGGCUAACUCCGUG